rnacentral:lncRNA from 1 species
UGGUAAAGUUGAGGUAAAGCAAGCGGCCGAUUAGAUGUCUGUACUUAGCCGGAUCUGGUAAGAUUUCUCUUUCUUCUGCAUUUAGUUUUAGUCUAGAAGGCAGGGGAAAGUGGCUUCCUUUUGCAUCAUCCAUAUUUGUAUCUUGUAAAAUGUCUUUAAUGUAUUUUUUUUUUGCUGAUGUAGAUCCCUUCUUUUGACCUAGCUAUCUCGACUCCAAGGAAGUAUCUUUUGGCCGAGGUCCUUGACUGUGAAGGCUUCAUCUAUGGUGCUUUUGACUUCACAAAUUUCUUCGUCGUUAGGACCCGUAAUAAGUAAGUCAUCCACAUAUACCACAACUGCAACGCAGUUUCCUUUUGUUCAUUUUAUGAAUAGACAGUGGUCGGCUUCUGACUCGGUGAAGCCGAUAGAUUGGAGCUUUGAAGUAAGUUCCUUGUUCCACUGUGACCCGCUUGUUUCGGGCUGUACAAGCUCUUGGUUAACGGCAGACUUGCA